AUUUAAAUUCUGUUAGUGCUGUACUAAAAGAAUCGUUAAUAAUAAGUCCAUGCAGCGAAGGAACUGAAGAAUUGUGGGACCGUAUUUGGGCAGAAAAUGGGUGUGGUACGGAAACCCAGAAACGGCAUGAGUUCAACAUAAAACAUGGAUUAGAAUUUUAGCGAGGGUUCAAGUAAAAUCUGGAAGUGUUACAGGAUUGAAGAGUGAGCCUACAGUUGAAAAACACUGAAAGUGCAUUACCAUUAAGGUAUGAGCUGCUUCUCUUGCUAAAGAACAACUUGUCCUUUACGUUCAGAGUGUUGGUGAAGCUGGGUACUUAAAUGGCUCUAAAGAUGUUUCAAUUUGCUGGCAUUGCAGCGAUGAACAUCAUACAUGGACUCUUAAGGAAAGGAUUUACAGCAUACUGGGAACACAACUAUCAACAAUGCAACAUUCUAUGGGUGCUAUUUUAUCAUUCAAGAGCCUUAUACAAUGAUUUUUAUCUGCAAUUUGUAUGGCCUUUCCCAAGCUUCUGCCAUAAGUUGAAUCUAUAAGUCAUGUAAGUCACAUGAGCAACAAUUGAGAUGCUUAAUGGUGUUGUUUUUCUUUUCUCAGUAUAGGUUAAAGAGUUAAGACAAUCUAGCACAUUGUCUAAUGAGAAGUACCAUCUUGUGUUAAUAAAUCCAGUACAACAGCAAUCCUUUAUAGUUCUGUCACAGCUAGAAACCUCAAAUAAUUCUGCUUCUCUGUCUAAAGAACAACUUGUCCUUUACGUUCAGAGUGUUGGGGAAACUGGGUACUUAAAUGGCCCUAAAGAUGUUUUAAUUUUGCUGCCAUUGCAGAGAUGAACAUCAUACAUGGACUCUUUAGGUCUAAUCUACCAAAAAAAAUUUUAUCCAAUAGGAAAGGAUUUUCAUGUACUGGGAACACAACUAUCAACAAUGCAACAUUGUACAGGUGCUAGUUUAUCAUUCAAGAGCCUUAUACAAUGAUGUUAAUCUGCAAUUUGUAUGUCCUUCCCCAAGCUUCCACCAGAAGUUGAAUCUAUGAGUCAUGUAAGUUACAUGAUCAACAGUUGAUAUGUUUAACGAUGUUGUUUUUCUUUUCUCAAUAUAGGUUAAUAGUAACAUUGGAUCUGAAAAAAUUCUUGGUUGGGGCAAGACACUGAAUAAAUUGUAUUGAUUGGAUGGAUGACAUGACAUUUCUAUACUUAAUUCGGAUUCCCCAGACGGUAUUUGAUAUUAAAAAAAUUGAAGUGCAUAUCUGGGCUCCCUUCUUUUCUGAAGCCCCGUUUCCCCUUGACUCGUAAUAAGCCCGUAGGGGGUCAUGCCCCUACUGUACGGUAUAUAUAAAAACAACAUAUACCGAGGUUUGGAGGGCUCUGGCCGGAAAGGGGAC